GUCCACGCCGUAAACGAUGGAUACUAGCUGUUCGGGGCAACCUGAGUGGCUAAGCGAAAGUGAUAAGUAUCCCACCUGGGGAGUACGUUCGCAAGAAUGAAACUCAAAGGAAUUGACGGGGGCCCGCACAAGCGGUGGAGCAUGUGGUUUAAUUCGAUGAUACGCGAGGAACCUUACCAAGGCUUAAAUGUAGUCUGACAGGACCGGAAACGGUUUUUUCUUCGGACAGAUUACAAGGUGCUGCAUGGUUGUCGU
rnacentral:rRNA from 1 species